CUCCACCCAGUUUAAGCUUCCUGGCCACUUUGUUUACCUACUCAAGCCUCAGCAAUAGCGAACGCCCCUUCCCCAGCCUCACUGCCGCCUUGGAGUUCAAUCUCAGUCUGCUGUGCUAGCAGUGAGGGAGGCUUUGUGGGCAUGGGACCCUCCAAGCCAGGAAAAGGAAAUCCCCGACCGCUUGCACUUCCUGGCUGAGGCAAUGCCCCACCCUGCUUCGGCUCACACUCCGUGGGCUGCACCCACUGUCCAACAAGCCCCAGUGAGAUGAACCCGGUACCUCAGUUGGAAAUGUAGAAAUCAUCCAUCUUCUGCAUCGGCCAUCUUGGAAGCAGAAGAUUAUCUGUAUGCACAUUUCAUCCGGUUCUCAGAUAUCGUCACUUGUUCACCACAGUAGAAGACUCAGAAAUACCCAUGGCAACACACUGGAGAUCCUCACUGCCUCAAGGGCAGAGCUGGUUUGAACACGGCCUUUCCAUUGCUUCACUGCCCGCCAUUCACCCUCAAGGUCCAUUCUGUGCCAAGGCAUUGCAUGUUCUCAAGGCAAUGACCCUGGAGAAUGAAUAGCCAUGUGUGGCAGUAUAAGUGCUUGGAAGGUGACUUAGCCCAUUUGAACAAUAAAACUGUCUUUUAAACAGG
rnacentral:lncRNA from 10 species